AUUGUUUUGUAGUUCAUAAGUAGGAUGACUAGGUUGUCACAUGGUUGUGUGAGGUGUGCCUCUCUCAAACCUUGUCACAAUACAAAACCUUGUGUUGGUACAAUAUCCAAGUGAGG
ensembl:snoRNA